rnacentral:rRNA from 1 species
AACGAACGCUGGCGGCAUGCCUAACACAUGCAAGUCGAACGAGACCUUCGGGUCUAGUGGCGCACGGGUGCGUAACGCGUGGGAACCUGCCCUUAGGUUCGGAAUAACUCCCCGAAAGGGGUGCUAAUACCGGAUAAUGUCUUCGGACCAAAGAUUUAUCGCCUUUGGAUGGGCCCGCGUUGGAUUAGCUAGUUGGUAGGGUAAAAGCCUACCAAGGCGACGAUCCAUAGCUGGUCUGAGAGGAUGAUCAGCUACACUGGGACUGAGACACGGCCCAGACUCCUACGGGAGGCAGCAGUGGGGAAUAUUGGACAAUGGGCGAAAGCCUGAUCCAGCAAUGCCGCGUGAGUGAUGAAGGCCUUAGUGUUGUAAAGCUCUUUUACCCGGGAUGAUAAUGACAGUACCGGGAGAAUAAGCUCCGGCUAACUCCGUG